UUUUUGGAGGGUAAAANUUGUAACAAGGUUUCCGUAGGUGAACCUGCGGAAGGAUCAUUA
rnacentral:rRNA from 1 species